GCUCCCUACUGGGGGAGGCCCGCCCGCGUUUGGGAAUUCCAGCGGGGUCCCCAGCUAGCCGGUCUCCCGGCACUGAGCUUACUGAGAUUUCUCACUAGGUCACUGUUUGUUAAGAAAACAGAGUAACAGAAAGGAGGCAAAGCCCUUAAUUUUCUUUUUGCAACAUUCUCAAGUUAGGGCAAAGGAGAGAUGGAAGUGUGCCCGACUCUGUAAGAUGUUCCCCUUCUAGGAGUUUUCUCUAGUGGAGGGCCUUUCUGCUGUUUGCCUGACUCGAGAUGCUUCCUUGAUUGCUAAGAGACUACAAUGGAAAUGUUGCACCUCUGGACAGGGUUUCUAUUUCUUCCUUUCCAGCCUUGAUACUGCAUUGCCCUGCAGAAGAAGCUGGUGGCCUUUGCCAGACAGUGGCCCUGAUACAUGCAGGAGCUGAAGGAAGAGCCUGAGGAGCUGUGGGUUACAGCGAUGCCCCCCUGUGUGAGGUAAGCUACAAGAGCACUGACGGCAUGCAUAGUGCUACAGCGUUUGGCACC
rnacentral:lncRNA from 1 species